rnacentral:lncRNA from 1 species
GGGAUAAGUAGCAUUUAAUUAUUCCCUCUUCCCUAGCUGACGAUGGAUUGUUCCAUUGUUUAAGUGCAAUGAAAGAAAGCAAGUUUGGAAAUAAUCCUAGAAUGAGAGGAAAAAAAUAGGUAUUCAGAGUGAUAAAAAGAAAAUACAAGCAGUUUGCUGUUUAAAUUUACCUGGUACCUACCCUGUCUUUGACCUAAGAAGAGAGUAUUGUUAGCCUCUGCUACUCACCCAAUUUAGAGACCCUUUUCUCCUCUCAUCCUAGAUCAGGUUCCCAAGUAAAGAUGCUGAAAAAAUGUAGGGAAAUUUGGGUUAUAUUCUAAUCACAGAAAAUGUAUUAGCUAUGUGAUCUUAAGCAAGUUAUCUUAUCCCUGUUUAUGUUAGUUUUCUGAUCUGUGAAGAGGAAAAUAAUCAUUGCAUCCAUCCACCAGAAUUGUUAUAAGGAUCAAAUGAUUGUGAAGUGCUUAAUGAAGUAACUAGCAUAUGUUUCCCUUGAGUAAAAAUACAGACUCAAAGCCAAGCUCACCCCAGGCAGCUUUCUGCUGCCAAUCUCACCAUUCUGAGCUUUCCAUGUGCAGAUGCAACCACUCGAGACUGCAAAGGACUUACUGGAGCCUCACCACAAUUCUGCAAAGAAGGCAAUAGAGGUCAAAGAAAGUAAAGAGUUAGGGGAGAAGAAGGAAGCCAAAGAAAGCACUUAAUAAAGAUAAGAUCUGGAUACCAAAAAAGUUAAAUGUUGCAGUUCUUCCUGAAGAA